UCUCUCAUAGUACAACUGGUAAUACACACACUGCUUAUACUGUAGAUCCAUCUUGAAAAUAGUGAUUUGUUGGUGUGAGAUCCGGGUUCGAUUCCCGGUGGGAGAG